ensembl:lncRNA
GACUUCGGCUCAGGUCAGGAUCUCACAGUUUGUGAGUUCGGGCCCUGCAUCAGGCUCUAUGCUGACCUCUCAGAGCCUGGAGCCUGCUUCAGAUUCUGUGCCUCCUUUCUCUCUGCCCCUCCUUCACUCACGCUCUCUCUUUCUCAAAAACAAACGUUAAAGAAAAUUUAGGAAAUCGUCCUUUGAACACGAGCACAGACACUGCCGUAACAGGGAAGCACAUCUACCAUUACUGACAGCUAGUUUUUGUCCUGGGCCUUUCAAAGGCACUUCGGGACUGGGAGGAGGUGGACAGGGAAAGAUGAGGGAGAAUCAAUCACCCGUGUUGCUGAAAAUAAACAUCUUUACAACAGAGCUGUAAAAGCAAAUAAGGUAAUAAAACACAAAGCUCAAAGGUCAGUUUUUUGGGGGAUAAGGUUAUGUUCUGUGAAUAUUACAUCCUGGAGAAAUGCGGAUCUUAACUUGUUGGGUACCAUGCAUUUCGUAAAAGAGGAGCUCGUACCUUUUUGAAACAUAGAGAGGGAACGUUUUCCUUAAGAAUAUUUUAGUUUUCUUCGCAAACUAUGGGGAGCACUUACAACACAGGGGGAUUGUCCCAUCUAAUUGUGUAAGCUGUCGUCUUUCUGAUAUAUUUAUUUUUGCCAUUCAGGUAACAGAUAUUAGCAGAGUUGCAAAAUAUGGUUAAGCCUAGAAAGGAAGUAUAAACCAUCUGUAAUCUCACCUCCAAGGAGACAAUUGUUUUUUUGCUUUUUUUUUUUUUUUUUUUUUUAACCAGUUUGAAGUGUAUCCUUCAGAAUUUCUUCUAUGCGCGUUAGGGGCCAUUGUGAGCUUUGGGAAGCUUUAGAUGGGUAUCUGAAUUCGAUACCCGAAUUCAGCCUUGGACCAGUCAGCCCUUUUCACCCAAGGUCCCUGAUGGAGGUAAGUAAACGUGAAACCGUAGGGGACACAGGAUGAGAUGCCAUUUUAUUAUCGGCUUGGGUUUGGCUGAUUGGACGGGCUCUUUGGGAAGCUUGGCUGGAUCCCUGGCUUAUUACCAGAUUUCCAUCCGGGGUAUUUGUCCCCCUCCCUCUCUGCUUCUGGCAGCUUUGCUAAACUCCUUCAAGUUUCCAGCCUCCAACAGGUGACCCUGGCCCCGGGGUUCUGGGACAACACCUCCUCCCUCCAUCCCAGCAGCCAGGGGUAGAGCAUCUUUCUGCUAUAGCUAAUCUCUGGAUGGUCUUUGCAUCUCUGCUCCCAUGUAAGCAAUCCCCUGCAUUAAAUUCUCUCUGUUCUAAAUCCUUGAAAUGAUUCCUAACCCUUUGAUUAGAAUCCUGCCCGAGACAGCCAGCUGAGCAACUUCACCUCCUGGAGCCUUGGUGUCCCUAUCUGGACAAUAGGGAUAAUGGUGGUACCUACCACCUAUUUGUGAGGAUUAAAUGAGAUCAUUUUAGUUAAACCCUUGGCUCAGUUUCUGGCACAUAAUAAGACUGGUUUUCCCUAUCAGAGACCCAAGGCAUGACUUUUCAGCAAUUUAAGCAAUAUCAUUAAUUCCAUAGUUAGCCAGAGAGCUGUAUUUUGUUUUACUUUUCUGAAAAGCAUUGGUUCUGGGCAUGCAUAUGAAUGAAUAUCACCGGAAAAACACAUUCCAGUGACUAAGACCAGGGGCUCAAUGCAACUGCUUCAACCCAUCUCUUUUCUUCCCCUCUUCGACCUCAAGGAGUGGGCAAGCCAACAUCUCUCCUCCCCACUCACAGCCAUGUGGAUGCAGAGAAAAUGCUGAACCUUCAGAAUCUCCUGGGGCUCCUGAGAGCCCCACGAAACAUAAGCUCAUCUUAUAAAUCUGUCUUUCAUAGAAGCUUCAGUUACUGAUGCCAGGUGUCAACAUAUCAGAUUGUUGGCUAAUUUUAGCCUUCUCUCUGACUGUCUUGCAGGCAUGUAAUUAAUACCCCAAUUCAGCAGGGAUCCAAGGACAGCUCUGUUUUGCAUUCUGGUUGGGACACCUUGACCAUUAGACUCAUGUUCAAAGUCUGAAAGUGCUACUCGCAUGGGCUAUUUCGAUGUAUCCCAUUCGUCCAUGGGGACACCUUUCACUUUAAAAUCAAAAUCAGGGGGCGCCUGAGUGGCUCAGUCAUUUAAGCAUCCAACUUCAGCUCAGGCCAUGAUCUCAUGGUCCAUGAGUUCGAGCCCCACCUCGGGCUGUGUGCUGACAGCUCAGAGCCUGGAGCCUGCUUCGGAUUCUGUUUCUCCCUCUCUCUCUGCCCCUCCCCGACUCAUGCUCUGUCUCUCUCUCUCUCAAAAAUAAAUAAACAUUAACAAAAUUAAAAAAAA